AGGGAGUUCAGAGUACCUUGUAGAAGAUAACCUGUUGAAGUCUGCUGAUUGAAAGGAGUGUUUUUGUUCACAGAAAACUAAAGUAAACUUGAAAAAGUUAACUUUAGGAAUGGUAAACUAAUUCUAAAUGGUAGUUUAAUGAAAGGGUAUCUCUUUGAGGAUCUCAUUUUAGAUAAAAUUAAAUGUUAGCAGAAUGCUGCCACCUCACUGUUGUAAUUUCUUCCAUUACCAAGACUGUUGAGAUAGAGAAUGGACGGAAUGUAGAAUUGAUAGAUGUAAACGACAAUGCUCCAGAAUUUCAGCAAGCUAAUUAUAGUGCUUCAGUAUCAGAGGUAGCUGGAAUUAAUUCCACAGUUAUAAAAGUGGAAGCUGAGGAUAAGGACUUUUCACCAGAAUUCAGCAUCCUUACUUACAGUCUUUGGGGCCCAAACUCUGAUUACUUUUCUAUAAGGGAAGGAGAUGGAAACAUCAUGGUGAAAAAACCACUGGAUUACAAUGAAGUCAACUUUUUCAAUUUAACAGUCCAAGCAAAGGUAUGACACAAAUUAAAAGAAUGAGACCUGCAACACUUCUACAAUGAUAGUUCCUUUGUUUUAUAGCAUCCCAGUUUCUACAAAUUUACAGCUUUGGGAGUUCCCAAGCCAAAUGUUGUGUCUGCAACUUGGUUUAUACUGGAGACAAAGUAGCAUAUUCUUAAUAUUUCAGCCUCUCAAGUACCAGC
rnacentral:lncRNA from 1 species